GAUGAACGCUAGCGAUAGGCUUAACACAUGCAAGUCGCGGGGCAGCACAAGGUAUCUUUCUAUCUGGGUGGCGACCGGCGCGCGGGUGCGUAACGCGUAUGCAACUUGCACUAUACAGGUGGAUAACCCGUCGAAAGACGGACUAAUACUGCGUAUGCUCACAACUUGGCAUCAAGUGGUGAGGAAAGAAAUUCAGUAUAGGAUAGGCAUGCGUCCCAUUAGCUUGUUGGUGAGGUAACGGCUCACCAAGGCAACGAUGGGUAGGGGAACUGAGAGGUUUAUCCCCCACACUGGUACUGAGACACGGACCAGACUCCUACGGGAGGCAGCAGUGAGGAAGAUUGUUCAAUGGGCGCGAGCCUGAACCAGCCAAGUCGAGUGAAGCACUACUCUCUGCUGUAUGUUAAUCUUUUUGUUGACAAGAAAGACUCUCAUUUCGGGCGUCUCCCUGCAUGUACCGAAUGAAGAAGCAACGGCUAAAUUCGUU
rnacentral:rRNA from 1 species